UCACCUAGGAUAGCAGUGUGUCAGCAUGGUAGAUCAGAUAUUUUUUCUCCCACCCACUGCACUUAAACCCCUUGUGUUUCUCUAUUCCCAUCUCUUCCACAAACGACAUGUUAACCGAAGCAUUCCAAUGAUUCCAUAUUAAUUUGUAUCACUUUGUUGUCAUUUGCAGAGGAGCAAUGUCUAUUCACGGGUUAAUGCUGUACGGACCAGAAUCCGUGAUACUUCAGAGAGAGGUACUAGCCCUGGUGAAUUAAGGAGGAUUUCUAGUGUUUCUUAGGAGAAUUUUGUAGCACAAUUUAAGGCUAGUGAGUCUGGUAGUGGUGGAGAAUGCAAGGAGGUUUAGAGGAAGUUUGUUGGAGACUUCUACUAAGGCAAGGUUGCUUGCUGGGAACUCCAAAUGAAUAUAGGUUGCCAGGGGUAAGCAAGCUAAUGAAUUGAGAUGAAUAUCCAUAAUGGUCUCUCUAGAAGCUGUCAUCUGAUCCUAACCUCAAUGAAGCUUCUCAAGGUAUGCUUUUGGUUGUACGCACAGAAGGACCAUAUAAUGCCAGGACGUUUGUUUUAAGGAAAAUGAGGAAUAUUUUGAGUUGUUGGCGGCCAAGGUAAUGAAGAAGGAAACAUAAAGAACAGGUCAGUAUUACAUAAUGCUCAGAAGAAUGAUACAUUGUAAGGCUAGUGAUCUUCUUAAAUGCAAUAAUGGAUGCUUUUCUGGCAGUGCAUCGUUUGCAGAGUUUCCAAUUUAGCUUGACACUGUCUCUUGGCAUUCAGGUUACCAUCAUUCUAUAAGUGUACAUACUGGUGCACCUGUAAUACAAGUGUACAAAAUGGUGCACCUGUAACAAGAUGAGUGCAGGUUGAUUUCACUGCCAUUCUCAUCCUAGAAACAAGCAUAUUUUAUUUUUCUUUGACCACACCCAAGAUAAACAUACGUAUCAUUUUUACUAAGCUCUAAAUGGCAAAUAUGACUAUCUUUGUGAAACAGAUGACUACCUAGUUCUAUAAAAGCUUGCAACUAGUAUUACGAAGGUGCCUUUGCAUGGUGAAAUUAUUAACAUAUGUUUGGGUUUCUUUUGAAUGUGUUUGUUAUGGGGACUAAUGUGAUUAACUUUAUUUGUUAUGGAGAGAGAAGACAUGUUAUAAAUGGUUCAAUGGGCUCGGAUGUAAGAGCUCAUUUGAAACAAAUGCAACCACAUCGAACUUUCCCAUGAUUACAACGAGUAAUUCAUGUGAAGGUCCUAAAAGAGUUAAAAGCUACAGUUGUUUGUGGGGAUGAACAUGUUAAAUUAUCAGGUGCAUUUGAGACACUGGCAGCACAUAUGAUGAUUUUAGUAUGCACAAGGAUGAGCCAUGAGCCAGAUUGGGAUACACAGACUGGUGGAUUCACUUCUGUAGAUGAGGCUAAAAUUUGUCUUAGGUGGACAAUUUAAGUUGUGUGUAAUGUACA